rnacentral:rRNA from 1 species
CGAGUUUGAUCAUGGCUCAGAAUCAACGCUGGCGGCGUGCCUCAGACAUGCAAGUCGAACGAUUAAAGCUCUCUUCGGAGAGUGUAUAGAGUGGCGCACGGGUGAGUAACACGUAAGUAAUCUACCCUCGAGCGGGGAAUAACAACCGGAAACGGUUGCUAAUACCGCAUAAUGCAGCGGCACCGCAAGGUGACAGUUGUUAAAGAUUUAUCGCUUGAGGAGGAGCUUGCGGCAGAUUAGCUAGUUGGUAGGGUAACGGCUUACCAAGGCUACGAUCUGUAACCGGUCUAAGAGGACGGUCGGUCACACUGACACUGAAUAACGGGUCAGACUCCUACGGGAGGCAGCAGUCGGGAAUUUUGGGCAAUGGGCGAAAGCCUGACCCAGCAACGCCGCGUGAAGGAUGAAGUAUUUCGGUAUGUAAACUUCGAAAGAAUAGGAAGAAUUAAUGACGGUACUAUUUAUAAGGUCCGGCUAACUACGUG